AGGAACGCUACAAUACGAACAAAUACGCUACUUAGCGGUGCCGUGAAACAAUAAGUACUUUUUAAAGUAAUAUUGAUUAGCAUUAGUACCAUUACUAUAGCCAUUUUAAAGGUUAAACCUUGUUUUGUUCAAGUAACUGCGUGUACCUCUGGACUCACGGAACAUGUCUCCAGGUCUCAUUCUAUUUCUGCUUGGAUCAUUGCUACAUAAUGCAAAAGCAGGACUAAAUGAUGGUGAAAUUGCAGGGAUUUCUA
rnacentral:sRNA from 1 species